rnacentral:rRNA from 1 species
CCCUUAGAUGUUCUGGGCCGCACACGCGCUACACUGAAGGAGGCAGCGUGUACUCCUGGAUCGAAAGAUUUGGGUAACCCGCGAAUCUCCUUCGUGCUAGGGAUUGAGGUUUGCAAUUAUCCUUCAUGAACGAGGAAUUCCCAGUAAGUGCAAGUCAUAAGCUUGCGCUGACUACGUCCCUGCCCUUUGUACACACCGCCCGUCGCUACUACCGAUUGAAUGAUUUAGUGAGGACUUCGGACUGAGACCGAUGCGGCUUUCGGGCUGCGUCGGUAUUCUGGAAAGAUGUCCAAACUGUAUCAUUUAGAGGAAGUAAAANUCGUANCA